GACGAACGCUGGCGGCGUGCUUAACACAUGCAAGUCGUGCGGUAAGGCCCUUUCGGGGGUACACGAGCGGCGAACGGGUGGGUAACACGUGAGCAACCUGCCUUUCACUUUGGGAUAACUGCCGGAAACGGUGGCUAAUUCCGGACAUGACUUCCCCCCUCCUGUGGGGUGGGGGAAAGACUGCGGGUGGUGGGGGAUGGGCUCGCGGUCUAUCAGCUUGUUGGUGGGGUGAUGGCCUACCAAGGCUUCGACGGGUAGCCGGCCUGAGAGGGUGACCGGCCACACUGGGACUGAGACACGGCCCAGACUCCUACGGGAGGCAGCAGUGGGGAAUAUUGGACAAUGGGCGAAAGCCUGAUCCAGCAACGCCGCGUGAGGGAUGACGGCCUUCGGGUUGUAAACCUCUUUCGCCUGCGACGAAGCGAGAGUGACGGUAGCAGGUAAAGAAGCACCGGCCAACUACGUG
rnacentral:rRNA from 1 species